UGCAGCAUUAUAAAUUCAUUUCCUCUAUUAGAAGCAGGGCCGCGCCUGCACGCUGCAGCUGUUCCGGGAGGCAGUCCCUCGGGCUGGAGGGCGCGCCGCCCAAGCAGACGACCCUUUGUUUCCCCACGAGGGGAGAUUUGCCCGGUCCCACACCCUCGGCAAGAACUAUUUCCUCAGUGGCGCCAGGCAGUUGGGCAGGAUCAUCUGGGGUGGUUUUCAUGUGGCAAAGCAAAGCAUCCUCUGGGAUUCCAGGGCGACUUCUGAGGAUCCUUUUUCAUCCGUGACCUCAAACCAUGCCUCAUCCCAGGCCGCAAGGAUGGGAGGCCACCGCGGCCUGAGCCGAGUUCGCUGACCUCUGAAAUAACCCGCCCUGAUCCAUUCAGCAAAGCAGAGAGCAACUCAGAAAACAGGUGUUCCGGCGCAGAUGAAAAAGAGAGGACAAGAUGGGUGCCGUUUCCAACACAGCAGAAGGCCUUCUGUCUCUCUUCACAUUGUCUGCUUCCCCACCAGACUGCAAACUCCUGGAAGGUGACACCAGGACUCUGUGUUACUACACCUGGUGUCCCUCACACCUGGCACUGCACCAGACUCAGUCCUGAGAAAGAUGCCACCUCUUUCUUCACUGCACCAUCACCAAAAGGAACAGAAAUGGGAGGCUUUAACGAAAAACUGGGCUUGGCGAAAAAUCAUACAGUGGACUGUCAGACUGUUUGGGGAUUGACAAGAAUCCCAGCAUUUCUAAGCAUUAAGGACACAUAGAAUGAAGAAGUGGCCGUCUUGGCAAAAGAAAGGCACUAGUAUGGAUCUCCAAAGCUCUUAAAUAGGGGCAAUUUUGAUUCUCUUCUUAAAGAGUCUUAGUGAAGCUCUUAAACCACUGAAGACUUUUUCUUUCAAACAUUUCAAACUCGGUGGUUAAUCCCUCAGUGAGAGGAAUCUAACUUCCUGCGCCUGCAGCCUAGGGUUAACAAGACGGCAACCUUGAGCUGAAGAAAACAGCAGCAGCAAACGAGAAUUAAACCCGGGGUGGAUAUUUGAGGUAGUUUUUCCUUUUUAUUUUUUUUCUUAAACAAGUUCUAAGAAACAAGCCAUAAGGCAGCAAAUCCAGGGCCUGGCUCUUUCUGCCUUGUUUUAAUACUCCUUCUGAAUUCAAAUGAAUCAUUUCCUUUUACGUAAAAUCUUCAACGAGGCCACACUUCUUUUGUUAUCAGAGUGUUGUCAUCGGCAAGCCUGCUUGACUCUCAUAGAGGCAAUUUAGUACCCGACAGUCGAGCACGGCGGGUGCGGGCCUAGAUUUGCCUUACAAAUAAGGGCAGCCAAGGGACCCCCCAGGGAGGCCGGCGGCUCCCGGACCCCUAAGGUGCAUCUUUCAUCAACUUCUCAGGCGGCAGGCCCCUUGGCUUCUUCGGGAGUGCCGGGUCUCCGGAUAAAGUUCAGAUGCCACAGGGACGCUCUGCAAGCUUAUCCUGACCCCCAGCGGCCGGCCCUGUCAUCGGACGCAUACCGGUCCCCACUCCCGCACCCAAGGUUCCCCAGAUCCCAGGGACCCAGGCACCAUUCACUUUAAUUGACAAUUAAAACAAACUUCUGUUCUCACAAGAAUCAACUGAGUGAAAUUUCGCAACUGCAAAUUUCACAAUUCAAUUCCCUUGAAGCAAAACCAACAGUUUCCCUGAGGUUUCACUCCACACCUCUCCAUUUGUUGUGGAACUUCCCCCUCCAGUUUCUCUUCCCACACACCGUUUGAUUUCAGAGUCAGUCAUGGAAACAGUUUACUUAUGUUUCCGGGGGUCCCCGCCAAGUGGCGGCCCUGGAGCUGAGUCAGCGUUCCCGCGCAGCCGGGCGGGAAUGCCGGGCGGGAAUGCGGCGCAGGUUCAGAAGCAGAGCCGGCCCCGGCCCCCGGCCCGAGGUGGGUAGUGCGAUGGCCGCUGCUGCGCCGGUUCGAGCUGUUGCAAGUCGUCAGCCCCCAAAUCAAACAACCUGAAAUAAAUCUUCUGUGGCCAUGAAUGGAAUGGAGUCAGCAAAAUCUUCUGACCCUGGCUACAGGGCGCCAUGGGACAUAUUUAUACUAAAAAGAUACUUGUUAUUUAUCUGAAAUUCAAAUUAAUCCAGAAGUUUCCAUUUUAUCUGGUAACUCCAUUGAGCGAAGG